UGAAAGUUUUUUUUUUUUUUUUUUUUUUUUUUUUUUUUUUUUUUUUUUUGCUUCAAUCA
rnacentral:ribozyme from 1 species